AUGAAAUUGUUUUGCGAGAAAAGAAAAUUUUCAAUCGCAAAUCAGUACUGUUAUGCGAGAAAACUUAAACUUAAUUUCAAUCGCAAAACAAUGACGUUGUACAGUAAUACCUUGAUGGGAAAACUGAAAAACAACGAAGAGAUAAGCACCAUCGGCUUUCUCUGUGUGGUUACGAAUCAAAGACUCGUUUUGGCUUUGUACACCACUACACCGCCGGUACGUAGAGUACGUUGGCGCCGGGUCGUUGCUCCGGCCGUGGUGAGCCGGUGGAAGCCGGGGAAGAUGCUGCGGGCGAUGCCGGAGGGGCCAUGCUGGCCAUGCAGGAUGGAGCAGCCGUUCCAAACGCCGGCCGUUGGCCGAGAUGUGCUCGCGCUGUGCACUGGCCUGCCGGAGGCAGUAUCGCCUUUGCGCCUCGAGUUGGAGACCGGGGAGCGUAGCCGGUGCGCCCGCGAGAAUGAGCCUGCCGCGCCAUGGCCGAGCGGAGAGAACCGCAUCGGCCGCUGGCCGCUUGUGCCAUCGGGCUGCGAGCCGCGCCGGAGGAGGGCUGCGUGCUGCGCGCUGCGCCGCGAACGGUUGGGAACGACGCGCUAUGGUCGCUGGCCGCUGUCUCCACAUCGGAGCCGUGGGCCACAGCCGCCUCCUCCUUGGUUUGGUUGUCUCCGGACGCCGGCCGAGGCCGCGCCGUCUGAGCACUUCACCUCACAGCGAACGGGACGCCGCGGGGUCGAGGCCGCGUCAAAACCGAGGGCUGCAAGCGCACUGGGCACCGCCUCCACGCCGGGAUUCGCGGUGGUCGGCGAGGGCGACGCCGGCCGUGAAGACGCCACAGCGUUGCUGCACAGGGAGGCGGUUGGCAUGGAAGGCGUCAUCAACCACCGCCGAUCCGCGUCUUUGGCCGCGCCGCGCCGCUGCGCUAGUCUGCGGCCUGCCCCGCUUCUCUUCGCACGGUUGUUCCAUCUUUCCUGUGUUCUGUUAUGA
rnacentral:rRNA from 1 species